rnacentral:lncRNA from 1 species
CCUACUGGGCCCACUGAAGCUCCCUGGCUCAUUGGCAAGGACCCGGAUCCUCUCAGCUUCGCAGACCGGCCAGACUGGCCUGAUUGGCCUAUUAAACCCAGAAUCCUUUCCCCUCUUUUUCUCAGAGGGGGACAUGUCAGGAACUGUCUCUUAGGGAUACUCGGGACUUUGAAGGCAACCCAGUCGUUGGGCAGGUCUUGGAAUCCCUGGGCUGUAUUUGCCCAGCUACAUCUUUGUUGUUGCUAUUGAGUUUAAUUGGGGGCAGGCCUUGCACCCCUCUGUCCAACUUUUACCUGGGAAAUCUUAAAGCUCUUCAUCUGCCCUCUGCUCCAUCGCAUCUCUGAGUAACAGUCACCCUUUAGCAUUUCCCACUACAAAAGCCAAACUCUCGGUGGAGCAAACCGAUGCCCUUCAGCCCAGUAAAGGACACACCUCGAGGAGGGAACCACCUGCCCAGUGUCCUGGACGACCUCACCUCACCUCUGCCGUUACUCAUCCACCCCUGUCCAGCUCUGAAGCAAGUUCUCCUCUUGAAGACAGGGCUGACUUGAGUGCAUAUUUCUGCCUUCAGCUACUUCCUGCUCCCUUGUUCAACAGCAUAAAUAUGGCUCAGCCUCCGUCUUCACAGAUCAGAUGUCCAAUGUGCCAGGAGGGGCAGAAGUGAAUGACAGGGAGGCCUUGGAGAAGGACACGUGUCCCCAGGACCAACAGGGAGAAGGAGAAGCCAUUCUCAGCUGCCAGACUCUGGGACCUCAGAUCCCUCUGCUUCGGCUGAAGGGAGCCUCAGGGCUCCUGUGACACAGUACCCAGUCCUCUCUUUCCUCCUUCCCUCCAUUUAGCACUAUGGUGUGUUGGCUCAACGCACAGUACCUGUUACCCACUCCAGGAAGAGAGCGAGCCGCUCAUUCUGAUUAGCUGUCAGAACUAAUUCUAAGCCGUGUUAUUAUAUGUUAAGGAGGAAAAAGGAAAUCCAAAGAAACUGUACUUAAGGCCAGUGCCUAAUCAGGUUUUUUUCCCCUUCAUCUGUUUUGUACAAAAGCUGCCUGGAAUUACUGGUGUGAACCACUUUAUACCCCUCUUCAA